rnacentral:rRNA from 1 species
GACGAACCGUGCAAACGUUAUUCGGAAUCACUGGGCUUAAAGCGCGUGUAGGCGGGACGGCACGUCGGUCGUUGAAAUCCCCCGGCUCAACCGGGGAAUGGGCGCCGAUACGACCGUCCUGGAGGAACGUAGGGGGACCUGGAACUUCCGGUGGAGCGGUGAAAUGCGUUGAGAUCGGAAGGAACGCCCGUGGCGAAAGCGAGGUCCUGGACGUUUUCUGACGCUGAGACGCGAAAGCCAGGGGAGCGAACGGG